UACGUAGGGGGCUAGCGUUGUCCGGAAUCAUUGGGCGUAAAGAGCGUGUAGGCGGCUUGGUAAGUCCGCUGUGAAAGUCCAGGGCUCAACCCUGGAAAGCCAGUGGAAACUGUCAAGCUAGAGUCCGGAAGAGGCGAGUGGAACUCCUGGUGUAGCGGUGAAAAUGCGCAGAUAUCAGGAAGAACACCAAUGGCGAAGGCAGCUCGCUGGGACGGUAACUGACGCUGAGACGCGAAAGCGUGGGGAGCAAACAGG
rnacentral:rRNA from 1 species